rnacentral:rRNA from 1 species
GUCCCCCCUCGCUGUGAAGAUGCAGUGUACCCGCGGCAAGACGGAAAGACCCCGUGAACCUUUACUAUAGCUUGACACUGAACAUUGAGCCUUGAUGUGUAGGAUAGGUGGGAGGCUUUGAAGUGUGGACGCCAGUCUGCAUGGAGCCGGCCUUGAAAUACCACCCUUUAAUGUUUGAUGUUCUAACGUUGGCCCCUGAUCGGGGUUGCGGACAGUGUCUGGUGGGUAGUCUGACUA